UUUAUUUAUUUUAUUUAUUUUAUUUUUUUUCUUUCCUGGGAUCUAAAUUUGGAGCGGAUUCUUCCCCUGCUCUGAGCAGCUCCCGGAGCCUGGCUGGGGGAAGAGAGGGAGGCAUCAGAUGACAUGACAAAGGCCAAAGCCUUUCCGGGGAAUGCUGUCCAGCUGCUUUAGCAGGAAGACGGUACUUUACUGGCAUACGCCAGGUCUCUCGUGAUGCCAGGUCAAGAGAGACCCUGCACCCAGCUCAUCUGCCUUGGAAACCUGCUCUGAGCCAGGCCCAGCUGCAGUGUGUGUGACAGUUCAACCUGGUAUGCUGCUACAAAAAGCUCCAUUCCAGCUGUGAUGCACAAGGAACCCUGGACAGAAAGCAGUGCUCAGCCCAGACACACACACAGACUGAUGGAAGCAGGAUGGGUGGCUCUAACUCAAGGCCUCACCAUGCUCACGGUAGUUACAGUGUGGAUUUUACCCAUUUUCCAUUCAGGAGUGAUUAAUCUCAGAAGGAAGCAAGCAAGAGCUGGCUCAGAAUGAGGCAUGGGUACCUUGAGCUGGAUGGAAAGAGAUGGCAAGAUCAGCACAAGACGUAAACUCACGGGUGCCAAAGCAGGUAGGGUGGCACAUCCCUUGGGACAGUGUGUUUUCCCAGGGAUCCAGGAUGCCUCAGAGAAGCCUAGGAAUAUGAUCCAAAAUAGAAUGGAUUUUUCUAUGCCACUGUCCUGGCACUUGGGCUCAUGAAAACAAGGGACACCUUCUGCUCACUCACCUGCUAACCAAGAGAGACCAAGAAAGCAAGCAUAAGAGGCAUUCGGUGUUGACUGGCACUUUUAAAGCCUUCUUCUUUAGCAGAAAUGUCAGUAUUUGCUAGUCCUAACGGCUUCUGAGCUGUGAUAUUUCUUGCCUUGUCUCUCCUUGGCAAGUGCUCAUCUGCAGAAGUAACAGAUGAUCUAGCAAUCGUCUCGCAUCACAGCAUGUCAGAAAGGAGGCAGCCCACUAUCUGUAAUCACUGCAUCACCUCACAAAGAAUCUCCACUUGAUCUGUGUAAAUGUGGUUAUUUAUUGGUUUAAAAGUCUCUAAUUAUUAAGGGCUUCACCCUCCCACUUGAGAGCAUCUUGUUUCUUUAGCUCCUCAAAGAAAGAAACCAUUUUGCUCACCAUUGAAUCCAGCAGCCCAUAAACCUGCAGCAGAAAUUAACAGGAGGUUAAUUGCAGUGAACACACAGGGAGAAAGCCUGGUGAUGAGACUGACAGACACAGAGAUGGUGUCUCACACUGGAGCACAUUAACGUAUGGGCACGCACUCAUAGAAGAGGCUGCCUGCUAACAGAGCUUAGCUCUAGUAAUAACUUUUCUGGCUAUGAAGUGUGUUUAACAUUAUCCGAGGUACAAUUAAUUCUGUUCAUCCCUCAAGAGUCCACAAGCAUGCUAAAGACAUCCCAGAUAGAAAUCCCGCAUGUGGCUAUGGGAUGGCUGGGUUUAUGCUAGCAGGUUCCAGGCUGGAAUAAAGGACAUCUUACUUUGUGUUUCAUA